rnacentral:rRNA from 1 species
CCUACGGGUGGCAGCAGUGGGGAAUAUUGGACAAUGGGCGAAAGCCUGAUCCAGCCAUGCCGCGUGUGUGAAGAAGGCCUUCGGGUUGUAAAGCACUUUCAGUGGGGAAGAAAGCCUUGGGGCUAAUACCCUCGAGGAAGGACAGCACCCACAGAAUAAGCACCGGCUAACUCCGUGCCAGCAGCCGCGGUAAUACGGAGGGUGCGAGCGUUAAUCGGAAUUACUGGGCGUAAAGCGCGCGUAGGCGGUCUGGUAAGCCGGUUGUGAAAGCCCCGGGCUCAACCUGGGAACGGCAUCCGGAACUGUCAGGCUAGAGUGCAGGAGAGGAAGGUAGAAUUCCCGGUGUAGCGGUGAAAUGCGUAGAGAUCGGGAGGAAUACCAGUGGCGAAGGCGGCCUUCUGGAAUGACACUGACGCUGAGGUGCGAAAGCGUGGGUAGCAAACAGGAUUAGAUACCCUAGUAGUC